rnacentral:rRNA from 1 species
AGCAUAUCAAUGAGCGGAGGAAAAGAAACCAACAGGGAUUGCCUCAGUAACGGCGAGUGAAGCGGCAAAAGCUCAGAUUUGAAAUCUGGCCCCGUCUUGGGGCCCGAGUUGUAGUCUGUAGAGGAUGCUUCGGGGGUGAGCCAGGUCUAAGUCCCUUGGAACAGGGCGUCAGAGAGGGUGAGAGUCCCGUCUGUGGCCUGGUCUUCUCCCUCGGGUGAAGCUCCCUCGACGAGUCGAGUUGUUUGGGAAUGCAGCUCCAACCGGGUGGUAAAUCUCAUCUAAAGCUAAAUACCGGCCAGAGACCGAUAGCGCACAAGUAGAGUGAUCGAAAGAUGAAAAGCACUUUGGAAAGAGGGUUAAACAGCACGUGAAAUUGUUGAAAGGGAAGCGCUUGCGAUCAGACUUGCCCGUGGCCCUUCAGCCGGUGGAUUCCCGCCGGCGCAAUGGGCCGUGGGCAGGCCAGCAUCGGCUCGGGCGGCGGGAGAAAGACCCUGGGAAUGUGGCUCCCUUCGGGGUGCGUUAUAGCCCGAGGUGUCACGCCGCCGCCCGGACCGAGGCCCGCGCUCCGGCAAGGAUGCUGGCGUAAUGGUCGUCAGCGACCCGUCUUGAAACACGGACCAAGGAGUCUAACAUCCACGCGAGUGUUUGGGUGUCAAACCCCGGCGCGCAAUGAAAGUGAACGGAGGUGGGAGCCCGUAGGGGUGCACCAUCGACCGAUCCUGAAGUCUUCGGAUGGAUUUGAGUACGAGCGUGGCUGUUGGGACCCGAAAGAUGGUGAUCUAUGCCUGAAUAGGGUGAAGCCAGAGGAAACUCUGGUGGAGGCUCGCAGCGGUUCUGACGUGCAAAUCGAUCGUCAAAUUUGGGUAUAGGGGCGAAAGACUAAUCGAACCAUCGCCGCUAGGUGGUCGAGAGACGGGGGUGCCGAGUUGGCGACGCCGUCUAGUCCUCCCUUGGGGAGGGCGACACUGUCAAAUUGCGGGGACACCCUUAGAGCUCGGACCACCGCAGCCCGGCUGAAAGGCGGGUGCGCACCGGGGCGCUCAGCCCGGGGAAGGUCACAGCGUCCGAGAUUGGGCGAUCCGCAGCCAAGUCCCACGGGCUUCUCAAGCGCCGGGAUCAGGUUCACAGACUAGAUGGCAGUGGGUGUGGGCCUCAAAGGGCCAUGCCUAAGGUAUAGUCGGACCGCCGGGAGACCGGUCGAGGCAUCCGCGGCUCACCUUUGGGAGCACUGUGGGGUGUCCUCGGGGGCGCGGUGUUCGCCGCCGUGGCAACCCGCCCUGGAGUGAUCGCUAGUAGCUGGUUCCUGCCGAAGUUUCCCUCAGGAUAGCAGUAACGAACGUCAGUUUUAUGAGGUAAAGCGAAUGAUUAGAGGCCUUGGGGUUGAAACAACCUUAACCUAUUCUCAAACUUUAAAUAUGUAAGAAGUCCUUGUUGCUUAGUUGAACGUGGACAUUCGAAUGUACCGUUACUAGUGGGCCAUUUUUGGUAAGCAGAACUGGCGAUGCGGGAUGAACCGAACGCGGGGUUAAGGUGCCGGAAUGCACGCUCAUCAGACAUCACAAAAGGUGUUGGUUCAUCUAGACAGCAGGACGGUGGCCAUGGAAGUCGGAACCCGCUAAGGAGUGUGUAACAACCCACCUGCCGAAUGAACUAGCCCUGAAAAUGGAUGGCGCUCAAGCGUGCUACCCAUACCCCGCCGCCAGGGUAGGAACGAUGCCCUGGCGAGUAGGCAGGCGUGGGGGUCGGUGACGAAGCCUGGGGAGUGAUCCCGGGUCGAACGGCCCCUAGUGCAGAUCUUGGUGGUAGUA